UACGUAGGGUGCAAGCGUUAAUCGGAAUUACUGGGCGUAAAGCGUGCUCAGGCGAUUUUGUAAGUCUGUCGUGAAAGCCCCGGGCUCAACCUGGGAAUUGCGAUGGAGACUGCAAGGCUUGAAUCUGGCAGAGGGGGGUAGAAUUCCACGUGUAGCAGUGAAAUGCGUAGAGAUGUGGAGGAACACCGAUGGCGAAGGCAGCCCCCUGGGUCAAGAUUGACGCUCAUGCACGAAAGCGUGGGGAGCAAACAGG
rnacentral:rRNA from 1 species